CAAUACCAUGUGGUUUUUAGUACUAUUUGU
rnacentral:piRNA from 1 species